UACGUAGGGGGCUAGCGUUGUCCGGAAUCAUUGGGCGUAAAGCGCGUGUAGGCGGUUCGGUAAGUCCGCUGUGAAAGUCGGGGGCUCAACCCUCGGAAGCCGGUGGAUACUGUCGAGCUAGAGUACGGAAGAGGCGAGUGGAAUUCCUGGUGUAGCGGUGAAAUGCGCAGAUAUCAGGAGGAACACCAAUUGCGAAAGCAGCUCGCUGGGACGUUACUGACGCUGAGACGCGAAAGCGUGGGGAGCAAACAGG
rnacentral:rRNA from 1 species